AUGGAACCCGCGGCGGCGCCAGCCUCCCCGGCGCUCCCUCACGGAGGCCAUGCCCCCGCCGUCGGCGGCACCGCGCGGGGCGUCCGGCGGCGCCAGUACGCGGUGCUGGCGCUCACCUUCGCGGCCUACGCGGCGUUCCACGCCUCCCGCAAGCCGCCCAGCAUCGUCAAGGCGGUCCUCUCCGCGGGCUGGGCGCCGUUCACCGGGCCCGAGGGGACCCACCGCCUGGGCGAGCUCGACGUCGCCUUCCUCGCCGCCUACGCCGCCGCCAUGUUCGCCGCGGGCCACCUCGCCGACCGCGCCGACCUGCGCGUCCUCCUCGGCGCCGCCAUGCUCGCCUCGGGGGCCGCGUCGGCGGCGCUCGGCGCGGCCUACUUCCUCGGCGUCCACAGCCUCCCCUUCUUCCUCGCCGCGCAGGUCGCCAGCGGCGUCGUCCAGUCCGCCGGGUGGCCCUGCGUCGUCGCCGUCGUGGGCAACUGGUUCGGCCACACCUCCCGUCGCGGGACCAUCAUGGGGGUGUGGAACUCGCACACCUCCGUCGGCAACAUCGCCGGCUCCGUCCUCGCCGCCGCCGUGCUCGAGUUCGGGUGGGGGUGGUCGUUCUUGGUGCCGGCAUUCGUCAUUGCCGCGCUUGGGGUUCUGGUGCUGGUGUUCUUGGUCGCUCACCCGAGUGAUGCUGGCCUGGAGCUGGAUGCCAUGGAGGUUGAGAUGAAUGGGGAUGGUGGGGAGGAGGUGGAGCUUCUUGUAGAGGACAAGAAAGAGGUUGAAGUGGAUGAUGAUGGUGAAUUGGAAUUGGAAAUGGGGUCCCAAUUACCUACGGCCAUUGGGUUCUUGGAGGCAUGGAGAUUGCCAGGUGUCGCGGAAUAUGCAUUCUGCCUCUUCUUCUCCAAGCUUGUUGCUUAUACCUUCCUCUACUGGUUGCCAUUCUACAUCCGGAACAAUGCUGUAGCAGGGCAGUUCUUGUCACACAAGGCUUCAGGAAUUCUGUCCAUUGUAUUCGACAUCGGAGGAGUGUUGGGAGGGAUUUCAGCUGGCUUCCUCUCAGACGCAAUAGGUGCCAGAGCUAUAACAUCAGCUCUGUUCCUUCUCCUCUCUAUCCCCGCUCUUAUCCUUUACCGGACAUUCGGAAGCAUAUCCAUGCGUCACAACAUCGCCCUCAUGUUCAUCUCUGGCUACUUCGUGAACGGCCCAUACUCCCUCAUCACCACGGCCGUCGCAACCGAUCUCGGCACCCAAGACGCGAUCAAGGGGAAUUCACGAGCACUAGCCACCGUCUCUGCGAUAAUCGAUGGCACCGGCUCUGUCGGCGCAGCGUUAGGCCCCUUACUGACAGGGUAUAUUUCGACAAGAGGAUGGAACAGUGUGUUCUUCAUGCUGAUUGUGUCCAUAUCCCUUGCUCUCGUGUUUUUGAUACGCAUAGCGAGGGACGAGAUAGUCGCCAAGAUCGGUGCCAGGCGUUAG
rnacentral:rRNA from 1 species